CCCUUAGAUGUUCUGGGCCGCACGCGCGCUACACUGAAGCGUUCAACGAGUAUUCACCUUGCCCGGGAGGGUUGGGUAAUCUUUUGAAAACGCUUCGUGAUGGGGAUAGAUUAUUGCAAUUAUUAAUCUUCAACGAGGAAUUCCUAGUAAGCGCGAGUCAUCAGCUCGUGCUGAUUACGUCCCUGCCCUUUGUACACACCGCCCGUUGCUCCUACCGAUUGAGUGAUCCGGUGAAUAAUUCGGACUGCAGCACUGCUUGGUCUCCAGGCUUUGCAGCGGAAAGUUUAGUGAACCUUAUCACUUAGAGGAAGGAGAAGUCGUAACA
rnacentral:rRNA from 1 species